rnacentral:tRNA from 1 species
CGUAGCUCAGUAGGAUAGAGCAUCGGUUUCCUAAACCGAGUGCCACAGGUUCGAUUCCUGUCGG